AGAGUCGAUCCUGGCUUAGGACGAACGCUGGCGGCGUGCCUAAUACAUGCAAGUCGAACGGUCUUUUCUAUGGAAGCUUGCUUCCACUGAGAAGAUAGUGGCGAACGGGUGAGUAACACGUGGGUAACCUGCCCAUAAGAGGGGGAUAACAUCCGGAAACGGGUGCUAAUACCGCAUAGUUUUCUUGAUCGCAUGAUCGGGAAAGGAAAGACGGCCUUUGUGCUGUCGCUUAUGGAUCGGACCCGCGGCGUAUUAGUUAGUUGGUGAGGUAACGGCUCACCAAGACGAUGAUACGUAGCCCGACCUGAGAGGGUGAUCGGCCACAGUUGGGACUGAGACACGGCCCAAACUCCUACGGGAGGCAGCAGUAGGGAAUCUUCCGCAAUGGACGAAAGUCUGACGGAGUAAUGCCGCGUGAAUGAAGAAGGCCUUCGGGUUGUAAAGUUCUGUUGAGAAGGAAGAAAGGUAUUAGAGCUAAUACCUCUAGUAUUUGACGGUACUUUUUGAGGAAGCCCCGGCUAACUACGUGCCAGCCGCCGC
rnacentral:rRNA from 1 species